AGAGUUUGAUCCUGGCUCAGGACGAACGCUGGCGGCGUGCUUAACACAUGCAAGUCGAACGGAAAGGCCCCCACUUUUUUGGUGGGGGUGCUCGAGUGGCGAACGGGUGAGUAACACGUGGGUGAUCUGCCCUGUACUUCGGGAUAAGCUUGGGAAACUGGGUCUAAUACCGGAUAGGACCAUGGUUUAGUGUCUCAUGGUGGAAAGAUUAUUGUUUUGGUGCAGGAUGAGCUCGCGGCCUAUCAGCUUGUUGGUGGGGUAAUGGCCUACCAAGGCGUCGACGGGUAGCCGGCCUGAGAGGGUGGACGGCCACAUUGGGACUGAGAUACGGCCCAGACUCCUACGGGAGGCAGCAGUGGGGAAUAUUGCACAAUGGGCGCAAGCCUGAUGCAGCGACGCCGCGUGGGGGAUGACGGCCUUCGGGUUGUAAACUCCUUUCGUUAGGGACGAAGCCGCACCUGUUUUGGGUGUGGUGACGGUACCUUUGUUAAGAAGCACCGGCUAACUACGUGCCAGCAGCCGCGGUAAUACGUAGGGUGCGAGCGUUGUCCGGAAUUACUGGGCGUAAAGAGCUCGUAGGUGGUUUGUUGCGUCGUCUGUGAAAUUCCGGGGCUUAACUUCGGGGUGGCAGGCGAUACGGGCAUAACUAGAGUGCUGUAGGGGAGACUGGAAUUCCUGGUGUAGCGGUGGAAUGCGCAGAUAUCAGGAGGAACACCGAUGGCGAAGGCAGGUCUCUGGGCAGUAACUGACGCUGAGGAGCGAAAGCAUGGGGAGCGAACAGGAUUAGAUACCCUGGUAGUCCAUGCUGUAAACGGUGGGCGUUAGGUGUGGGGACCGGUUUGGUUUCUGUGCCGUAGCUAACGCAUUAAGCGCCCCGCCUGGGGAGUACGGCCGCAAGGCUAAAACUCAAAGGAAUUGACGGGGGC
rnacentral:rRNA from 1 species